rnacentral:rRNA from 1 species
UCGGAUCAGGGUUAGUCGGGUCCUAAGGCUCAGCCGAACGGUGAGGCCGAUGGCAGAACAGGUUAAUAUUCCUGUACUACCUUAAGGAGUGACGUGGAGACGGAGUCGUGACAACGCCGCGGACUGACGGAAUAGUCCGUUGAAGGGUGUAGAUGUUGAUUGUGGCAGGCAAAUCCACCACGAGAGUCGAACCUGAUAGUAUACCAAUUCCUUCGGGAAACGGUAAUAGUGCGUGUAAACAUACUCCCGAGAAAAUCCGCUAAACUUAAUCCUUGAGGUACCCGUACCGCAAACGGACACACGUAGUCGGGUUGAAUAUACUAAGGCGCUUGAGUGAUUCACGGUUAAGGAACUAGGCAAAUUGACCCUGUAACUUCGGGAUAAAGGGUCCCAACGAGAGUUGGGCGCAGAGAAUAGGUCCAGGCAACUGUUUAACAAAAACACAGGGCUGUGCCAAAUUGAAAGAUCACGUAUACAGCCUGACACCUGCCCGGUGCUGGAAGGUUAAGAGGAGAUGUCAUCGCAAGAGAAGCAUUGAAUUGAAGCCCCAGUAAACGGCGGCCGUAACAAUAACGGUCCUAAGGUAGCGAAAUUCCUUGUCGGGUAAGUUCCGACCUGCACGAAUGGUGUAAUGAUCUGGACACUGUCUCAACCGUGAGCUCAGUGAAAUUGUAGUAUCGGUGAAGAUGCCGAUUACCCGCGAUGGGACGAAAAGACCCCGUGAACCUUUACUAUAGCUUAACAUUGAAUUUGGGUAAUUGAUGUGUAGGAUAGGCCGGAGACUUUGAAGCGCAGACGCCAGUUUGUGUGGAGUCGCUGUUGAAAUACGGCCCUUUGAUUAUUUGAGUUCUAACCCGUUGUAACGGGGACACUGUUUGGUGGGUAGUUUGACUGGGGUGGUCGCCUCCAAAAGUGUAACGGAGGCUUCUAAAGGUGCCCUCAGGACGAUUGGUAACCGUCCGUAGAGUGUAAUGGCAUAAGGGCGCUUGACUGGGAGACAUACAAGUCGAUCAGGUAGGAAACUAGAGCAUAGUGAUCCGGUGUUUCCGCAUGGAAGGGACAUCGCUCAAAGGAUAAAAGGUACUCCGGGGAUAACAGGCUGAUCCCUCCCAAGAGCUCAUAUCGACGGAGGGGUUUGGCACCUCGAUGUCGGCUCGUCACAUCCUGGGGCUGGAGAAGGUCCCAAGGGUUGGGCUGUUCGCCCAUUAAAGUGGCACGCGAGCUGGGUUCAGAACGUCGUGAGACAGUUCGGUCUCUAUCUAUCGUGGGCGUAUGAAAUUUGCGUGGCUCUGACACUAGUACGAGAGGACCGUGUUGGACUGACCUCUGGUUUACCAGUUGUGCCGCCAGGUGCAUUGCUGGGUAUCUAAGUCGGGAUUGGAUAAGUGCUGAAAGCAUCUAAGUACGAAGCCAGCCACAAGAUUAGAUUUCUUAGGGUCGUCAAAGACGAUGACGUUGAUAGGAUGCAGGUGUACAGGUGGUAACAUCAUAGCCGAGCAUUACUAAUUGCUC